UAAAAGGGGAAAGGUCUAUUAAUUAAAAACGUGGAAUUGACGUCAUUGGUUAUUAAAAAGCGAUUAGAUUCUGUAAACAAGCUUUCGUUCGUGAUAGGGAUUCAACUACCUGAAAAAUAUAAGGAGAAUUUCGACGUUUCGAGCGAAGGCGCUACGUCGGGAGUUUGGCAAGUAACUCCAGACCAAGGACCUUCGCUGGAAACGUUGAAAUUCUUCUUAUAUUUUUCAGGUAGUUGCAUCCCUACCAACGAAAGCUUGUUCAUAUUAUUGCCACUACCUACACUGGCACAGACACUUCAAGAUUAGAUUCUGUGGUUUUCUGAUGGAUGUGAAUGAGGAGAUGAGUUAUGAAUGUUCUGAGUAUAUGUACCCUCAUCUCAACAUUCAUAUCCACUCGUUCACAUCCAUCAGAAGAAGAAAAUCGCACUUAAAAUCGCAGCAAAAAUUUGCGAAUCUAAAAGGGGCCUUUAGGAAUCGAAAUUCACCAAAUGUGUAGAAUUUCUGAAAUGGCAAUAGUUUAGUUUUACCGCGCGAAAUUCAAAAGUUUAAUAGUUUUUGCGCGCGAAAUUCAAAAGGUUAAAACACAUUUUGAGUUCAUGGGCGAGAACAUUGUUAUGUGUUUUAUUAAUGGUCCAAAUAUCAGAAAAAUUGCGCAAUUUUAAGUCCUUCAAAUAGCUGCUGAAACUUUCAAUUUUUGGCACCAAUGCCUUUCAGCAUGCAUCAUUCAUGCAUGCAUUUACUUAAUUUGCAUUUUGUGAUCGUAAAAACAUUAUGGACCAUUAAUAAAACACAUAAAUUUUUUGCCCAUGAACUCAAAAUGCGUUUCAACCUUUUAAAUUUUGCGUGCAAGUUAUUUCUAAUGCUGCUAAAAAAGACCCCCCCCCCCCCUGCUCUGGAAAAUUUAUCUUUACGAAAUUGUUUUGUUUAUUCUACAUUAUAAGUACCCAAACAAUCUAUAUUUAUCAAAGAUUUCAUGACACGAACAGAUUUGUGAAAUUGAAAGCCGUUUCAAAAUUGUCUACUUUUUUCUGAUACACCCUGUAGAUAGAAAGAUAGAUGGUUUAUUUCAUAAAAACAUUGCAGCCAAUAGGCUGAAUUACGCUUAUAUUUACAAGUUAAGAAAAUAUUAAAAUACUAUACACUAGGUAUAUAUUAUA